rnacentral:misc_RNA from 1 species
AUGAAGCAAAGGUUCAUCGUAGGAUUUUUUUAAUUAUUUAAUUUUUGAUUGAUGUUAAUAGAUCUAUUAUUGCCCGGCUAGUGGUUGGUGUAUGGGAGCCUUUCUAAUUAGGGAGUGAAUUUGUCUGGGAGCUUUUGAGCGGAAGGUGGGCUCCAGACUGGUUGUUGAGCACUUGGGCUUUCCAUCAGGCUUUGUCCUUUGGAUUUGGCCUACUUUAGACUUUCGACUGCCAAAUUACGUUGUGAGGUUAAUCUAAUAUCAUCUGUUACAAAUGCGUUAAUUUAGGUGGGAUCCAUUUCAAGUUUACUGUUUUUUAGGAUAAUAAUACGUGCACAGGGAAUCUCAAGUAUAA